UACAGAGGUGGCAAGCGUUGUUCGGAAUUACUGGGCGUAAAGGGCGCGUAGGCGGCCUGUCAAGUCCCGUGUGAAAGCCCCCGGCUCAACCGGGGAACGGCGCGGGAAACUAGCAGGCUUGAGUUCGGGAGAGGGAAGCGGAAUUCCGGGUGUAGCGGUGAAAUGCGCAGAUAUCCGGAGGAACACCGGUGGCGAAGGCGGCUUCCUGGACCGACACUGACGCUGAGGCGCGAAAGCUAGGGGAGCAAACGGG
rnacentral:rRNA from 1 species